rnacentral:lncRNA from 1 species
CCAAUGAGUGACCCUGAGUGACCCCUGAAUGACCAAUGAGUGACCAAUGAGUGACCAAUGAGUGACCAAUGAGUGACCCUGAGUGAUGUCACCUGUCUCACCUGUCCCUGUCUCACCUGUCUCACCUGUCCGUCUCUCACCUGUCCAUCUCUCACCUGUCUCACCUGUCUCUCACCUGUCCGUCUCUCACCUGUCUCUCACCUGUCUCACCUGUCUCUCACCUGUCUCUCACCUGUCCAUCUCUCACCUGUCCAUCUCUCACCUGUCUCUCACCUGUCUCUCACCUGUCCCAGGUGGGCGGGGACGUCCCAGAGACCAAUUACCUGUUCAUGGGCGACUUCGUCGACCGCGGCUUCUACAGCGUCGAGACCUUCCUGCUGCUGCUGGCCCUGAAGGUGCGGUACCCGGACCGGAUCACGCUGAUCCGGGGGAACCACGAGUCCCGGCAGAUCACGCAGGUUUACGGCUUCUACGACGAGUGCCUGCGCAAGUACGGCUCCGUCACCGUGUGGCGCUACUGCACCGAGAUCUUCGACUACCUGAGCCUGUCGGCCAUCAUCGACGGCAAGAUUUUCUGCGUGCACGGCGGCCUCUCGCCGUCCAUCCAGACGCUGGACCAGAUCCGCACCAUCGACCGCAAGCAGGAGGUGCCGCACGACGGCCCCAUGUGUGACCUGCUCUGGUCCGACCCCGAGGGUACGGCGGGCACGGGGGGCGGGGGGGGACAGGGGGGGACAGGUGAGGGACAGGUGAGGGACAGGUGAGGGACAGGUGAGGGACAGGUGAGACAGGCAAAAAAAACCCAAAAAAAUCCCAAAAUCCCCGAGGUUUUAUCCCAAAAUUCACUGAAUUGGCCUCAAAAAUCACCUGAAUUGGCCCCAAAAAUCACCUGAGUUGUCCAUGGUGAGGGACAGGUGAGGGACAGGUGAGACAGGCAAAAAAAACCCCAAAAAAAUCCCAAAAUCCCCGAGGUUUUACCCCAAAAUUCACUGAAAUGGCCUCAAAAAUCACCUGAAUGGGCACCAAAAAUCACCUGAGUUGUCCAUGGUGAGGGACAGGUGGGCACAGGUGGGCACAGGUGACACACGCAAAAAACCCCCAAAAAAUCCCAAAAUUCCUGAGGUUCUACCCCAAAAUUCACUGAAAUGGCCUCAA